GAGAAUGUUUUAUUAGCAUCAAAAACUAAUGGAGCCAACAAAAGUGAGUUCAACCAAAUCUUCACCUUGUCACAAUGAAAAAGGGGAGAGUCUCAAUCUAAUAACAUCAUCGAUAACUCCAUUAUGCUUGAAAGUGUCACAGAUCUCCAAAAAAUUUGAGAUAUGAGCAUUAGGAUCGUCAUUAGAUAGAUGCCCAAAUUGGAUUGAAGUUUGGAUCAUUUGGAUGAUUGCCGACUUUAUCUCAAAGUUGUUACCUUGAAUAACCGACCUUCGUAUAUUUGAGCAAAGACUUUGCACCAACGAAACAACAUAAUCUCUCAAAGAUCAAUUAUCUUCCACUAUUUGCCCUUGAAUGUGCUGCUCUCUUUGAUUAUCAACCAUUGUUUUCAAAUUAUUAAAGUCCUGUGAAUUUUGCCUCAAAAAUCUCAGAAAAGUCUUCUCAAUUUUCAGAUUACAAGGGACAAUUUCCAAGCUCCUUACUCUUCUCAUACAAUGACCAAAAAGUACCUAAAAAUAAAGAAAAACAAACCUUGAAGUAAGACUAGUUUGCUUGGUAUUAAUAUUAGCAAAAAGUAGGAAAACCAUUCCACGAAAAUGGCACCAAAAACAUGUUGUCAAUCUUAUAUACAUAAGUGUACGUAUUGAACAAGAAACAUAGAUGUAAGAAGGGAUUGUAUCACAUGAAGAAUUGUGCCUAAAUUCUUGCUAAGUACAAAAAUUAUGGCACCCUAGUCUUAUCCAAACAAACCAAAUUUUGAAAAUUAAU
rnacentral:lncRNA from 1 species